rnacentral:rRNA from 1 species
AUGUUGUUUGCUUAUUUUUCUCGCAUGUCUUGUGAAGUGACAUGCUAUUUAUUGUAUUCAGGUUACAUCGGCUAUGGUUCCUUCCUUUUUAGAAUAGAAUUGCCGACAGAUGAUCACUCAAUCAUGUUCUUAUAUAUGGGGUGCGCAGCAAAUCGUCUUUCACUUGCAUCUCGUCAGUCGGUAAAUCUGCAGUUUUUGAAUGAGAAUACCCUAAAUUUAGAGGACAACUUCGCAAUGGCAAUCAGUUGUGGGACCUUAUUGAAGGACGGGAGGAAAAUGAAUUAUUGCACUAUACAAAAUUGUUAA